UCGCAUUGGGUAGAGCCUUGGAAAGGCAAAGUAGGGAUGGAACCGCAAGAGGAAUACCCUAGAAUCGUCUUUUCCUUCUGCUGUUUCAGUUUUUUAGCCCCAAAGUGACAAAAUAAUAGGGAAUCGGUCUGGAUUAAAUCCUGUGGGUGAGAUCUGUUAAGUGUACCACUUGCCCUGUUUUAGUCUGCCCUGCAUAAAAUGGAGAGGGCCGUUUGUCGUCGAGAGUACUCUUUGGGUAAAAAAUAAGACUUUAACUUUUGAAAGGCAUUCAAAAAGGUAAACAUGUUUAGAGUUUUUUCUAGCAUCCUUAAAUGACCCCUCCUAAAGUGGAGAUCCUUCAGGACUGCAUGGAAGUAAUUUGAAUUUUGAGAACCUGUUGCAGGCAGUAUUCCGCAACUAAAAUGACAAAAGUCCCUGUAUAGACUAAGACUGACGGUGUGUACCAUAUGUAAUAUCACUAGAGCAAUUAACGGAUGCAGCUGCCUCAACUGUCCAUAGGAACCACUUGGAGUUUUGUUUAAAAUGCUGAUUUUUAUUUAGUAGGCCCGAGUAGAGGCCUGAGAUUAUACUACAACAAGCACCCAAGUGAUAGAGAUUAUUUCAUCAGAACUACUUGAGUCAGUAAAACCCUCAGUACUUACCUCAAGCCCUAUUGGACACCUCUGACACGUUCUCCUUCCUGAACAACCCAUUGUUCUCUCCUGGCUAACCAGUUAGAAGUAGAGAAAGAAUUAAGCACGGAGGUGGGAGGAGAACCCCAGAUCUGAGUUCUUGCUUGCUGCUUUCUGUUUAUGAUACUGGUCUGGCUCCACAUAUUAUAGGUUUGUUUCUUCACCAAGUUAGAUGUAAUAAUGCCUGCCCUUUGUCACAGAGUCACUGUGUUUUACAUGUCAUAAUGUGAAAGGACACUGUAGGCUGUUACUGGUUAUAUCAAUGCCUGCUGUUUUAAGAUAGCAGACAAAUAAUGGGUUUCCCUGUGACAGUGCCAUGUAUGUCACACUUUGUUCUUGUUACCCCCUACACGCACUGCUGCUCCUUGCUAUCAGUCACAACUCAGAUAUUUAACUGGCCAGUAUGAAUGUGAAACAUUUUGAAACAUAUAUUAUAAAAUAGAUUCUAUCUAUGAAAAUUAUGUGCCAGGCAUGACACUUGUUCUCUUUUACAAACGAAGAAACUGGACACAGAUUGCUGUUACACCAGGGGACAGAGCUCUUAAGUGGCAGAAGUGGAAUUUGAAUAAACUGAUUAGUGAGGAACACUCGGACCUACCAAAACCUCUCAACAUACAGGGAGGACAAUGAAGCAAACUUGAAAGAAACCAGUUCCUGUUGCCCUAAUCUAAUGAGUUUCAACAAAGUAGUACACUGAAACUUUAUGCAAUAAAGCACAGAAAACUGG
rnacentral:lncRNA from 1 species